CUCUGUAGCUCAGUGGAUAGAGCGUCGGUUUCCUAAACCGUGCGUCGAGGGUUCGAUUCCCCCCAGGGC
rnacentral:tRNA from 1 species